rnacentral:rRNA from 1 species
UACGUAGGGGGCAAGCGUUGUCCGGAAUCAUUGGGCGUAAAGCGCGUGUAGGCGCUCGGUAAGUCCGCUCUGAAAGUCCAGGGCUCAACCCUGGGAUGCGGGUGGAUACUGCCGGGCUCGAGUCCGGAAGAGGCGAGUGGAAUUCCCGGUGUAGCGGUGAAAUGCGCAGAUAUCGGGAGGAACACCAAUGGCGAAGGCAGCUCGCUGGGACGUGACUGACGCUGAGACGCGAAAGCGUGGGGAGCAAACAGG